CAAAGAGGGGGACCUUCGGGCCUCUUGCCAUCGGAUGUGCCCAGAUGGGAUUAGCUAGUAGGUGGGGUAACGGCUCACCUAGGCGACGAUCCCUAGCUGGUCUGAGAGGAUGACCAGCCACACUGGAACUGAGACACGGUCCAGACUCCUACGGGAGGCAGCAGUGGGGAAUAUUGCACAAUGGGCGCAAGCCUGAUGCAGCCAUGCCGCGUGUAUGAAGAAGGCCUUCGGGUUGUAAAGUACUUUCAGCGGGGAGGAAGGGAGUAAAGUUAAUACCUUUGCUCAUUGACGUUACCCGCAGAAGAAGCACCGGCUAACUCCGUGCCAGCAGCCGCGGCAAUACGGAGGGUGCAAGCGUUAAUCGGAAUUACUGGGCGUAAAGCGCACGCAGGCGGUUUGUUAAGUCAGAUGUGAAAUCCCCGGGCUCAACCUGGGAACUGCAUCUGAUACUGGCAAGCUUGAGUCUCGUAGAGGGGGGUAGAAUUCCAGGUGUAGCGGUGAAAUGCGUAGAGAUCUGGAGGAAUACCGGUGGCGAAGGCGGCCCCCUGGACGAAGACUGACGCUCAGGUGCGAAAGCGUGGGGAGCAAACAGGAUUAGAUACCCUGGUAGUCCACGCCGUAAACGAUGUCGACUUGGAGGUUGUGCCCUUGAGGCGUGG
rnacentral:rRNA from 1 species